rnacentral:tRNA from 1 species
GGGGCUGUAGCUCAGUGGUAGAGUGCUUGCCUCGCAUGUGGGAGGCACAGGGUUCAAUCUUCAGCACCA